rnacentral:rRNA from 1 species
UCUGGUUGAUCCUGCCAGUAGUCAUAUGCUUGUCUCAAAGAUUAAGCCAUGCAUGUCUAAGUACAAACCUUAAUACGGUGAAACCGCGAAUGGCUCAUUAAAUCAGCUAUGGUUCCUUAGAUCGUCUCAUCCUACUCGGAUAACUGUGGAAAAUCUAGAGCUAAUACGUGCUUACAAGCCCUGACCUCACGGAGGGGCGCAUUUAUUAGAUCAAAACCAAUCGGGCUUGCCCCGUCUGCUUGGUGACUCUGGAUAACUUUUGUGCUGAUCGCAUGGCCUCUGCGCUGGCGACGUAUCUUUCAAGUGUCUGCCCUAUCAACUUACGAUGGUAGGUAGGUGAUAUGCCUACCAUGGUUAUAACGGGUAACGGGGAAUCAGGGUUCGAUUCCGGAGAGGGAGCCUGAGAAACGGCCACAUCUAAGGAAGGAGCAGGCGCGCAAAUUACCCACUCCCGGCACGGGGAGGUAGUGACGAAAAAUAACGAUACGGGACUCUUUUGAGGCCCCGUAAUUGGAAUGAGUACACUUUAAAUCCGUUAACAAGUAUCUAUUGGAGGGCAAGUCUGGUGCCAGCAGCCGCGGUAAUUCCAGCUCCAAUAGCGUAUAUUAAUGUUGCUGCAGUUAAAAAGCUCGUAGUUGGAUCUGAGGACUCGAAUUGGUGGUGCACCAUACGGUGUUACUGCCGAUUCGGCCUACCUAGUCGGUGCUCGCUCUUGGUGUUCUUAAUUGAAUGCCCUGAGUGCCCGGCAAGUUUACUUUGAAAAAAUUAGAGUGCUCAAAGCAGGCCAUUAGCCGGAAUACUUCAGCAUGGAAUAAUGGAAUAGGACUUCGGUUCUAUUUUGUUGGUUUUCGGAACCCGAGGUAAUGAUUAAGAGAGACAGACGGGGGCAUUCGUACUGCGGUGUUAGAGGUGAAAUUCUUGGAUCGCCGCAAGACGAACAACUGCGAAAGCAUUUGCCAAGAAUGUUUUCAUUAAUCAAGAACGAAAGUCAGAGGUUCGAAGACGAUCAGAUACCGUCCUAGUUCUGACCAUAAACGAUGCCAACUGGCGAUCCGAGAUCGUUUGCUUAUUGACCUCUCGGGCAGCCUCCGGGAAACCAAAGUUUUUAGGUUCCGGGGGAAGUAUGGUUGCAAAGCUGGAACUGUUCAAUUGCAACUCUGCCUGUGACACCAAGUGGUCGGGUUACUUGGUCUGUUCUGGCCCGGAGUCGGUAGGGUUUCCGGCCUUGUGCUCUUUCCUUACUGUUCUCUGUAACGCCGAAGGCGGGCUUCCACGGUGGGGAAGCGGUUGUACAAAUCCGGCAAAUCCAGCCAAAUGGGUUCCGGACUCUGUCCAACCUGCAACUGGUAACAGCCUCGGCUGGCUAACAUUUGAGCUGGGACUCGCUUGGGAGGAGCGAGGAUAAUAUAAACCUCUAUGUGACUGAGGUGAGGAAUCUGGUUCUCGUAAAAUGGCUGGAGAUCCCGAGCCUGUAAGUCAUAAAUUAGUUCCCCCACGAGGGGAGGUGUCGAAUUGAAGCCAGUGCGUGCCCUUACUAGUUUAAGGGAUUGUAUACUUCCUUUGGUGUACCCACCUGGAAGUGCCCAAGGGGUCCUAUCCCUGCACUCCAUCCCCCCCGAUUGGAGUCAGGUGACGGCUCCUUA